CCUACGGGAGGCAGCAGUGGGGAAUAUUGGACAAUGGGGGGAACCCUGAUCCAGCGACGCCGCGUGAGUGAAGAAGUAUUUCGUUAUGUAAAGCUCUAUCAGCAGGGAAGAAAAUGACGGUACCUGACCAAGAAGCCCCGGCUAACUACGUGCCAGCAGCCGCGGUAAUACGUAGGGGGCAAGCGUUAUCCGGAUUUACUGGGUGUAAAGGGAGCGUAGACGGUGCCGCAAGUCUGAAGUGAAAGGUGGGGGCCCAACCCCGGGACUGCACUGGAAACUGUGUAACUGGAGUGCAGGAGAGGUAAGUGGAAUUCCUAGUGUAGCGGUGAAAUGCGUAGAUAUUAGGAGGAACACCAGUGGCGAAGGCGGCUUACUGGACUGUAACUGACGUUGAGGCUCGAAAGCGUGGGGAGCAAACAGGAUUAGAUACCCGAGUAGUC
rnacentral:rRNA from 1 species